UACGUAGGGUGCGAGCGUUAAUCGGAAUUACUGGGCGUAAAGUGUGCGCAGGCGGCUGAGCAAGUCGAGUGUGAAAGCCCCGGGCUUAACUUGGGAAUUGCGCUCGAAACUACUUGGCUUGAGUGUGGCAGAGGAAGGUGGAAUUCCGACGUGUAGCGGUGAAAUGCGUAGAGAUGUGGAGGAACACCGAUGGCGAAGGCAGCCUUCGUGG
rnacentral:rRNA from 1 species